ACCAAGGAGUCUAACAUGUGCGCGAGCCGCGGGGCAGUACGAAACCCGUAAGGCGAAAUGAAGGUGAACGCCGGCGCGGUCCGGCGGAGGUUGGAUCCCGUCCCGUCGGGGCGGGCGCACUACCGGCCGAUCUUCUCCGCCCUGUCGGCGAGGUCGAGCGAGAGCGUGCAAGUCGGGACCCGAAAGAUGGUGAACUAUGCCUGAGGAGGUUGAAGCCAGAGGAAACUCUGGUGGAGGACCGUAGCGAUUCUGACGUGCAAAUCGAUCGUCAAAUUUGGGUAUAGGGGCGAAAGACUAAUCGAACCGUCUAGUAGCUGGUUCCCUUCGAAGUUUCCCUCAGGAUAGCUGGCGCUCUGUCGCAGUUUUAUCUGGUAAAGCGAAUGAUUAGAGGUCUUGGGGGCGAAACGCCCUCAACCUAUUCUCAAACUUUAAAUUGGUAAGAAGCCCGACUCGCUCGUUUGGAGCCGGGCAUGGAAAGCGAGUGCCAAGUGGGCCACUCUUGGUAAGCAGGACUGGCGAUGCGGGAUGAACCGAACGCCGGGUUAAGGCGCCCGACGCGACGCUCAUCAGAGCCCACAAAAGGUGUUGGUUGAUAUAGACAGCAGGACGGUGGCCAUGGAAGUCGGAAACCGCUAAGGAGUGUGUAACAACUCACCUGCCGA
rnacentral:ncRNA from 1 species